UGUAGGGGUGAUAUGCCAAACGAACUGGGAGAUAGCUCGUUCUCCCCGAAAUAGCUUUAGGGCUAGCGUUGCGAGAAGCGUAGUGGAGGUAAAGCGCUGGAUGGGCUAGGGGGCGUCAAGCUUACUGAACCCAACCAAACUGGGAAUGCCACUACGUAUCCGCGGCAGUCGGACGGUGGGUGAUGAGAUUCAUCGUCGAGAGGGAAAGAACCCAGACCUACAGCUAAGGUCCUGAAGUGCUGGUUAAGUGGGAAACGAUGUGACUGUGUCGAGACAGCUAGGAGGUUGGCUUAGAAGCAGCCACCCUUGAAGAGUGCGUAACAGCUCACUAGUCGAACGCAGUUGCGCGGACAAUGUAACGGGGCUCAAACCAGCCACCGAAGCUUGGGAUGGUCGAAAGACUAUGGUAGGGGAGCGUUCUGCAGGCGGAGAAGGCCAACUGGAAGUUGACUGGAGCGUGCAGGAGUGAGAAUGCCGGCA
rnacentral:rRNA from 1 species